rnacentral:rRNA from 1 species
AGUCGAGCGGGGAACGGAUGGUAGCUUGCUACUGUUUGUUUCUAGCGGCGGACGGGUGAGUAACGCGUGAGCAACCUGCCUUUAUCAGGGGGAUAACGCAUCGAAAGAUGUGCUAAUACCGCGUAAGACCACAGCUUCACAUGGAGCGGGGGUCAAAGGAGCAAUCCGGAUAAAGAUGGGCUCGCGUCCGAUUAGCUAGUUGGUGAGAUAACAGCCCACCAAGGCGACGAUCGGUAGCCGACCUGAGAGGGUGAUCGGCCACAUUGGAACUGAGAGACGGUCCAGACUCCUACGGGAGGCAGCAGUGGGGAAUAUUGGGCAAUGGGCGAAAGCCUGACCCAGCAACGCCGCGUGAGGGAAGAAGGGUUUCGGCUCGUAAACCUCUGUCCUAUGGGACGAAGGAAGUGACGGUACCAUAGGAGGAAGCCCCGGCUAACUACGUGCCAGCAGCCGCGGUAAUACGUAGGGGGCGAGCGUUGUCCGGAAUGAUUGGGCGUAAAGGGCGCGUAGGCGGCCUGCUAAGUCUGGAGUGAAAGUCCUGCUUUCAAGGUGGGAAUUGCUUUGGAUACUGGUGGACUGGAGUGCAGGAGAGGAAAGCGGAAUUACCGGUGUAGCGGUGAAAUGCGUAGAGAUCGGUAGGAACACCAGUGGCGAAGGCGGCUUUCUGGACUGAAACUGACGCUGAGGCGCGAAAGCGUGGGGAGCAAACAGGAUUAGAUACCCUGGUAGUCCACGCGGUAAACGAUGAAUGCUAGGUGUAGGAGGUAUCGACCCCUUCUGUGCCGCAGUAAACACAAUAAGCAUUCCGCCUGGGGAGUACGGCCGCA